UAGGUACGCUUUCGUAAACUACGUACAAAGGUUCGAAACAGCUCACUCACACAAGCGCGUGUAUCGACGGGACGAAUGAGCGGUUCUUGCGUUACUGCCAGUAGUGUGCGUCGCUGCGCCGAAACGACUGCUCACGUAUAAGUUUAUUUCGCUGUUUUACGCAUGGGGAUGCAACUGAAGUACAAUAAUUUUCUGAGGUUUUUUUUUAGAAAUGCGCCAUCUAGUGACGGAUGCCCCGUAACUUGGGUAUUUGUACUUCGUUUUAGUCACUAGAUGUCACUGCACCUUAGACCGAUAUUUCAUCGAUUUAAUAACAAAUCUAAAAAAAGUUUUGUGAUUAGAAAUAUUAACAAAUAUUGUAAUUAAAUAAUUUUAUGAUUUAUUUUUAAUUCUUUUUUAUCUAUGAGGACGUCUUAGUUAAUCACAAUAAUCACACUACUUGAAACCACUUGAAACACUGACGAUUGACAUUGACAGUCGACCAUACUUUUAAAUUAAACCGUUUUCCGUUUUCUAACGUGUUGGUUUAUUCUGAGUGUUAUUUUCUGGUUUUUUUAUUACGAUUGUUGCGUGUUCCUGGACUCUGAUACUGACUGCUUCUGUGAUUGACCUGGCUUCGUAUUUUGGACCUGUGAUCUACUGCAUUUUCAUUGACCCGGCUUUGUAUUUUGGAACCUCGAUCGACUGCUUUUACAUUGACCCGGCACCGUAUUUAGGACUAGAAAAUGCGUCCAGUGGAUCGUCUUAGGGGCGGAAUGCCAUCAACGUCAAGAUAUAAGUGCUACUUUGAUUGUGACAAUGACGGCCCAUUGCACCGAUUUCCUAAACCUGAAUACCCACAUUUGGAAAAGUUUAACUCGUGGAAAAAGUACUAGAUAAAGCUUUACAAGAGAAAGGCGACAUCUACAUUUAUAACCAAAUUCGAUUUUGCGACAGACAUUUUGAAGAGUGUUACCGUUCAGCCAGUCACCGACUUACUCCAAAUGCAAUACCAACUCUAGAUUUAUCUACAUUACCAGUUGGUCAAACUCUUGAAGGUCCAUCGGGACAUGUCGAGGCAGACAUGUCGAAUUUAUUAAACAUUUCGCAAGAUAAACUUGCUGUCAUUGAGCCAUCCAGCUCUACCCACUAUCAUAGUGAUGUACAGAAUGCAUUACAGACAGCUGAACGCCCUAAAGGUUCUAGGAAAAGAGGGACUUGUCAAUAUUUAAAACGAGUCGUCACCUCCAAAGAGAAGGAGAUAAUAAAGUUAAAACAGAAAGUAUUGAAGCUGAAAAAGAAAUAUAAGGAACAAAAUAACAAGAAACUCUCUGCAAGGAAAAUUUCCACAUCAAAAUCAUUUUUGAAAGAGUUAAAUAAAAUGCCUGCAACAAUAAAAUAUUUACUUCCCUCCAAAUGAAAUGGAAAAAGAAACCACGAGGCAGGCGAUUUACAUUUAACGAAAAAAUCAUGGCAUUGACCAUUUACAAACAGAGUCAGAAAGCUUACAACCUCAUGCGAAAAAUGUUUGUCUUGCCAUCAAAGCGCAGCCUACAAAAAAUGUUGAGUAAAUUUGAACUGAAACCAGGCUUCAAUCCUGAUAUAUUUAAAAUUUAAAAGC